CUGCUCGCCACUACAGGACACGGGGAACAGGAGAAUAUUAACUUCAACCUGGGCACUUGUGCAGAGGAGCCAAAAACAUCAUAAUAAUAAUUCCAGACACUUAAAAAUAAAAACAAAAAAUACAACAAUUACAACAAAGCUGAAAUGAUAACUACAGUAAAGGUUUUAAAAAAUUUAAUUAGCUAAAUAAUUCCCCAAAGUGUCAUGGCAAAGAAACGCGCUUUAACAAGAAGAGCAGAAAGAGGAGGCCUUUUCUCCAAUCCCUGCUCAUACGUUGCUUUCUUUCUGUUAGGUAUUCAUCAAGACCAUCACUUGGGUGCAUGAAAAGCAUGAUGAAAUUGCUCUGGACACAAUUUUUGCUCCUUAAUGGCGCCUCUGUGGCUUUUGUAGCAGUUGUAAUGGGGGCUUAAUGAGAAAGCCCUAAUGAACCUCCCUGUCUGCAUUGUAUAGUCUGUAUUUUUUCUUUCUCUUUCUUUUUCUUCCCCCCCAUCCCUUUCUUUCCUUGUCAGAUCCCCCAGUGGGCUCUGUAAUUACUAUGUAGUGAGUGCUGCAUUCUAUACCAACCUCAUCCACUGAGGUUCUGCUUCUCUCCCUUAUAAAAAAAAGCCAUAUUAUUGUCACUUGGGUGGGGGGGGGGUGUUAAAGUUAACACCCGGGGGAUGGUUAAAAUGAGUUCCUGUCCCUGGUGCACACACACACACAAACACACACACACACACACACACACACACACACACACACACACACACACACACACACACAAACACACGCAAAUCUCCACUCUGGCCCAUUACAGCAAACAGAUUGUAUUAUGGACAAAGGGGACUCUGAGCUUGCCUGAGCAGGAGUAAAAAGGAAAGGAAAUUGCAAAGAGCAAAAAUAAGAGUGAUUCAUUAGACUUCCAUUCUUCCAUGCUCAUUCAACAUUCACAGUUAUCAAGUUCAAAAAUAAGAACAUACUUCAUACACACAGGAAAUACAGGUUGUACAGUUGGACACACACAUGCACACAAACACGCGGUUAAGGCAGUAUGGAUAUGGCGGCAGCAACAGUCUCGAUCUGUAUAGAUAAAUGUCUAUGAGACAAAGAGCUCGAGUGAAGGCAGAUGUGGAAUUUUGGACAGGCUAUUUGCCAGGACACCACAGGGAAGCGUGAGGGCCUUAAAGUGACAGAGAGGCUUGGAGCGCCUCCGCUUCUGCUGCCACAGUUCGCUCACACACACACACACACACACACCCCUCAAAUGUCUAGGCGCAGCGCUAGAGACAAAACUCGUGUGACAGAGGCGGCGGAUCGAGCCCAAGCUGCCUGUCGCGAGGCACUCGGCUGCAAGCGACAGCUGUCAAGUGGCGCGCUGGCGGCUCCGCUAAAAAACCUGCAGUGAAGCCAGAUCCCAUAAAUAUUGCCUCUUAAUGUACGCAGGCAACACUAAUCUGUCUCCUUCUCUAUUUGGAUAUGCAAAUGGCUGCGCCCAUGGCUCCCUUUCCUGUGGAGGCAUCAGUAAUGUGGAUUGAUGCAAAACUGACGUGGGACGUGAAAGAGAAAAAUCAGAUUCCUGUCUUUUGAGCGCGGCCCCCAGAUCCUACUCUCCACGGCGGCACGACCCGGCUGCCAGGCAAUCCGCCGGCUGCCAAGACGCAGAGAGAGAGAGAGAGAGAGAGAGAGAGAGAGAGAGAGAGAGAGGCACGCAAAUUGCUCUCAGUCUCUCUUUGCCCAGAGGGCAUCCAUUUAUUCCGACAUCGCCCAUCCGACACGGCAAAGACCAGAGCCUCAGUGCCCUCAGUGCCCGCUGCGGCCCACUCCGCCUUCACCCAUGCUCCUACCAACGAGAGACGGCCUCGGUUUUUAAUCAUGUGGCAGCCAACACUGGACCAUGUCUCAGUCUUGCCUCUACAUUCAAAAAAGACGUAACAUGUCGAGCUUUUGGUCCCAUGCUUCAUAAACUGAAAUAAAAGAUCCCAUCAUUUU